rnacentral:sRNA from 1 species
GGCCUAACCCGUUCCGUAAGGAGCGGCAGGGCUAUAAAUCCUGUUGAAGAUAAAGAUCCCAUCAUGUGGGAGCAUCUUCAACAGGUCAUAUCUCGAAAGGGAUAUGGGUCUCGCAAGGGAUC